rnacentral:rRNA from 1 species
CCUACGGGAGGCAGCAGUGGGGAAUCUUGCGCAAUGGGCGAAAGCCUGACGCAGCAACGCCGCGUGAGCGAAGACGGCCUUCGGGUUGUAAAGCUCUGUCAGGAGGGACGAAGCCACUCAGGUGAAUAGCCAAGAGGGUGACGGUACCUCCAGAGGAAGCCCCGGCUAACUACGUGCCAGCAGCCGCGGUAAU